rnacentral:rRNA from 1 species
UGAAGUCCCUUCGGGGGCGGAUCAGUGGCGAACGGGUGAGUAACACGUGGGCAAUCUGCCCCUCACUGUGGGAUAACUCCGGGAAACCGGGGCUAAUACCGCAUAUGAAGCCUGGCGGCAUCGCCGGGUUUGGAAAGUUUUUCGGUGAGGGAUGAGCCCGCGGCCUAUCAGCUUGUUGGUGAGGUAAUGGCUCACCAAGGCGACGACGGGUAGCCGGCCUGAGAGGGCGACCGGCCACACUGGGACUGAGACACGGCCCAGACUCCUACGGGAGGCAGCAGUGGGGAAUAUUGGGCAAUGGGCGGAAGCCUGACCCAGCGACGCCGCGUGCGGGAUGAAGGCCUUCGGGUUGUAAACCGCUUUCAGCAGGGAAGAAGCGAAAGUGACGGUACCUGCAAAAGAAGCACCGGCUAACUACGUGCCAGCAGCCGCGGUAAUACGUAGGGUGCAAGCGUUGUCCGGAAUUAUUGGGCGUAAAGAGCUCGUAGGUGGUCUGUCACGUCGGAUGUGAAACCCUGAGGCUCAACCUCAGGCCUGCAUUCGA